AUGAUAAGCGCGUGCCUUGCUGACGUCGUCAGCAACAUGCCCAUGCAGCUUGGAUCCGAAAAGCUGCGACACGGUUUUUCCGUGUUGAUCCACCCAAGGCCGCUUAGCUUCUGGUAGCGCGGCCGGUCGACCUCGGUCGAUAGAAGC
rfam:Pseudomonas taeanensis MS-3 contig_08, whole genome shotgun sequence.